AGAAAAUUGAGAAGAUUGGCAGCAGGGACGGUGCUUUUUUUUUUUUUUUUUUGGGGGCGGCUGUUGAAAGAUGACGAUUUGGCUAUACGACGUUUCGAAUCUCUCAAAGAAAAAAUUAGGAAUAUGUAGACCAUCAGGUAAGUAUAACCAUCUAACUUAUGUUGUCAAUAACAUCGAAGAAAAAUGUGGAUCUUCAAACGAUGCAUGGCACCUAGUCUACGACGAUGGAAAGAUACGUGUGAUAGCUUUCGAGAGCUGCGAAUGGAAAUUCGUAGUAGUAGUUGAAAAAGAGGGCGAUCCAGAUUAUGUUGCACUAUGGGAUAUACAGGAAGAUGGCACGGGGGUUAAUUUCAUCUUUGAUGAGAACAAGAAAAUUUGGUUUUGCUCUUCAAAGCAUGCGUUGGAACAAAAUGGAGAGAAGCACAAGGCUUGGAUUCUGGACACUGCUGCUGCACGUUCCCUUUGGAAAUGGGUUCCCUUUGGCCAAAAAUGAGCAUUGUGCUGAUUAGGGUUUGUGCUCAGUGGGCUUUUUAUGUUGUAAUAAUAAUAGCACUAGCAAGCUUUCUGCUCAGUUGGCCUUCUAAUAUUAGAAUAAUAUAUAGUUCAAAGCCUGCCUAAUUAGUCGGCUUCUGUUUUGUAAUCAAGUGAGUCUUCUACAUGGGGGGAAUAACUUUCACAUGUAGUAGUAAAACUGGUUACGGGGUACAGAUAUAGUUUGAUAAUUAGUUUUAAUAAUAACAGUAUCAUAAUUUAACGCA